AUGGACGAGCAUCGGAGCCUGCUGCGCUCGCCGGCAGCCUUCUCCUCCAGCAGGCACCCGCGGGGCGGCGGCAGCAGCAGCCACCACAACCCGGGCUACACCGAGCCGCCGCCCCCCGAGGCCCCCCAGCCCGGCCCCGAGCAGGAGGAGGGGGAGGAAGCCGAGGAAGAGGAGGGCGGCAUGACCGUGGUGGUAGGUGGGGUGGACCCCCUGCUGGAAGAGCCCCAGCACCCCCACCCGCUGCUGGCGGGGGAACGCUACGACCACCCCCCGGCCCACGUCCCGCUGCCCCCCGGCCACCACCCAGUGGGUGGCGGGGAACACGAGUGCUGCGAGCGGGUGGUGAUCAACAUCUCCGGCCUGCGCUUCGAGACCCAGCUCAAGACCCUGGCCCAGUUCCCCCAGACCCUGCUGGGUGACCCCCGCAAGCGGAUGCGCUACUUUGACCCCCUGCGCAACGAGUACUUCUUCGACCGCAACCGGCCCAGCUUCGACGCCAUCCUCUACUACUACCAGUCCGGGGGCCGCAUCCGGCGCCCGGUCAAUGUGCCCAUCGAUAUCUUUUCAGAGGAGAUCCGCUUCUAUCAGCUGGGCGAGGAUGCCAUGGAGAAGUUCCGGGAGGACGAGGGCUUCAUCCGCGAGGAGCAGAGGCCCCUGCCUGACAAGGAGUUCCAGCGCCAGGUGUGGCUCCUCUUCGAAUACCCGGAGAGCUCCGGGCCGGCCAGAGGCAUCGCUAUUGUCUCGGUCCUCGUCAUCCUCAUCUCUAUUGUCAUUUUCUGCCUGGAGACCCUGCCUGAGUUCAGGGAUGAUCGUGACUAUGAGGGGACGGGGGGGACCUUUGGCACAAGCAGCGGCCUCCUGGAGAAAGACACCUUCACCAACUCCUCCUCCGCAGCUGUCUCGAUGGUCUCGUCCUUCACUGACCCCUUCUUUGUGGUGGAGACACUGUGCAUCAUCUGGUUCUCUUUUGAGUUGCUUGUCCGCUUCUUUGCCUGCCCCAGCAAGGCCACUUUCUCCAAGAACAUCAUGAACAUCAUUGAUAUUGUGGCCAUCAUCCCUUACUUCAUCACCUUGGGCACGGAACUGGCUGAGAGGCAGGGGAAUGGCCAGCAAGCCAUGUCCCUGGCCAUCCUCAGGGUCAUUCGGCUGGUCAGGGUCUUUCGUAUCUUCAAGCUCUCACGACACUCGAAAGGUCUGCAGAUCCUGGGGCAGACCCUCAAGGCCAGCAUGAGGGAGCUGGGUUUGCUCAUCUUCUUCCUCUUCAUCGGAGUCAUCCUCUUCUCCAGCGCUGUCUACUUUGCAGAGGCAGAUGACCCCACCUCAGGCUUCAGCAGCAUCCCCGAUGCCUUCUGGUGGGCAGUGGUGACCAUGACCACGGUGGGCUAUGGAGACAUGCACCCAAUCACCAUUGGGGGCAAAAUUGUGGGGUCCCUCUGUGCCAUUGCUGGGGUGUUGACCAUUGCCCUUCCCGUGCCUGUGAUAGUCUCCAAUUUCAACUACUUCUACCACCGGGAGACCGAAGGCGAGGAGCAAGCCCAAUAUCUGCACGUAGGGAGCUGCCAGCACCUCUCCUCUACGGAGGAGUUGAGGAAGGCGCGUAGCAAUUCCACCCUGAGCAAGUCGGAGUACAUGGUGAUAGAGGAGGGGGGAAUCAACAACACUGCAUUCAAACAGGCUGCCUUUAAGACGGGCAACUGCACAGCUACAAACAAUCCCAAUUGCGUGAACAUCAACAAGAUCUUCACUGAUGUUUAAAAAAAAAAGCCUCUGAGGAAAUGUUGAAAUAAUAAUAAUAAUGCAAAGUGACCAUGUAAUCAGUAUUGUCUGGAACAUGCAUCAUCACUGGUCUGUGUGCGCCCUUGUCGAACACCUAUAUUUUUUAGAUCAUUCCUUUUAAAGAACAAGGAAGAGGAUUACAAAAGAAUCAGAAGAUAAGAGGAUGGAGGUGUUUGCAGAAAGGAAGAUCAGAGGACAAAAAAGAAGAACGCGCUCUCCGUUGAAACAGGUGUUUUUUUCUGCAACAUGUUGCAGGGCUGCUUUGUGCGUGGGGGUUGUGGGCAGCUGGCCUCUUUUCUCGUUUUCGCUGUGUAGCAGGUUUCCUUUUCAAUUAUACACACGUGCACUUGUUGGACUGAAAACCGUGAGUUGGAAGGGAAGAAACUAAAAUUAUAUUGCAGAGCCUGUUGGCAGGCAAGGGGAGGGAAUAACCAUUUAAUUUUGCAAAGCAUCUCUGCUACCACAUUGUUAAAUGAUGCUUAAUAUUGGAAGUGUGGUAUAUGUCCUUUAUGGGCAUAUUUCUUUUCUUCCCCAGCCAGAUCGUCUAUGAAAUUCUAAUCUGUUCAGAGACCCAAGUGUAAUCAGUUUUGAUUUAAUCAGAAAAAUGCCCCCCUUCUCUAUUCCUAAUUCCCUUCUCCCACAACUGUAUGGGAUUGUUUCAUCCAGCUCCAAAUUCCUGGCUGCAUGGUGUGUAUGGAGAAAUGUUCUUCUUACAUGGAAAGGUUUAACAAUUGACUAACCGAACAGCAUCCUGAGUGUUUGAACAUCCUGUGAUGCCAGUGCAGAUUGGGGAUAGUUAAGCUCCCAUUAAACCAGUAAUGGGCUUUUUGAAGUGACUUCAGCCUCAGACAAAACCUACCAAGAGCCUAGAAACAAACGGGGGUGAGGGGUAUUUUUGUCCAUUUCCAAUGCAUCUGAGAUAAGCGUCUGCAUCUAUCACAAGAAGAUUAAAGUGACAAACGCCUUCCAGUGGAAGUUACUAAUUCGGACCUGAGUGAUGCAGUUUCCAUAGCAACUCUGGUUUCCUGGGAAACCCCAAAAGGUUGUCAUGGUAUCCCUUCGCCCCAUCCCCCUUCAUCCUGUGCUGUUUCCACAGUAACCCUUCCAGAUGGUUCCAACUUCUGUGAUUCCACAGAAAAGCCACUGCCCUGGUAAACUGCACACACACAUACAGAGAGUUAAUCCCAGAGAGAUUUAGGAGUAGAAACUAGUCAUUAUCCUAGAUGCAUGGUUCUUUAGAUCUGAAACAUUCCUGAAGCCCUGGUAGCUAUCAAAUCAAGAAGCAAGAUGAUCAUCCGUGGAAUGCUGCUACGCACAUGUGCUGAAUAAAACUCCUGUUCAUAGGCAAUAAACGCAACAAACCUCCAAAUUACCCUGACUAUCAAGUUAAUAUCUGGGCAGUAAAACUGAAAAUUUAUUCCCUAUAUGCAAAUCUAUACAUCUGCUCAGAAGUUCUAGAAAGGCGAUCUCAUCCCUGACAGAAUAAACCAUACUUAAACUUAUGGUACGUGACCUAGAUUUUUCAAAAACCUCCCUCCAACUCCAAACAGCAAUUCCACUUUCAAGUGUAUACGGAACUGAACAACCAGACAGGAAACAUUAUAACGCAAAAGGAUAUCAAUCUUUUGACAUUGGGGUGUGUGGAGGGGGAGUAAGCAGAGAUCUAUAAAGUGCAGAGGUGCAAAGUAACCAAAAUCCUGAGGGAAAAUAUGCCUGCCUCGUCUCAUCCAAGUCAGCAGCUGCGGAACAUCAGACAGAAACAGGGCAUGAAGAUUUCAGAGGUUCUUAAAGGGGAUCUGUGUGCAAGAUGUGUUCCACUUUGCCUUAAAAAAAAAAAAAUCCAAACACCUUGUUUUUCUUUCAAAGCUGUUAUUUCCCCUGCCCAACAGAUAACAGAAGUCAUCUCAAAGUAAGAGCUACAAAAAUUGUAGUUGGUCAGUAAAAUAUUUCUUAAAAGAAUCAGACACAUUGAGAAUGCAGUGACUAGUUAUAUUCUUUAUAUCGUGGACUGAACUGAUGGAUGGCCUAUCCUCUUAUGUAUGCAGUACUUUAACUUCUAGUGGCAUAAAGAGUUCUACGUGUUAUCUGUGUUUUCUAACAAGUGCAUUAUGUAGAAGGGAACAUCUUUUCAGCCCGAAGAUUAUCUUCAAAUCAUGUGCAAUAUAAUAACAAGACCGAACAAAGCCAGGAAAAAGCAGAAGGAGGUGGAAAAUCAUUUGGACCUUAUUUCAGCCUUUAAAAUAAAAUAAAAAAACCCCACAUACUCAUGAAAGAUUAAACAACCAGAAAGGAAAUGUUAAACAGAGCAGCUAAUAAACAAUCCAGAUGUUUUGUCUGUAACAAUUCAACUGCUCUUGCUGUUUUAUUUCAAAUGACUUUAUCACGGGCUGUGUCUAGCCAUGAGAAAUGAAUGAGUCAUGUGCUAUUUUUCUGUGAAAUAUUGGUUAUAACUAGGUAUGUUCUGCACCAAAGGAUUUCCAGUUUACCCUAAUUACACUAGGAGAAAAGGGUAACAUCAUCCACUGAUGCUGAAGAGGAAGGUGUUGAAGAGUCAGCUAACAAGUUGUGCCUGGCUUUAAAAAGCAAGUGUCCAGACAGAUAGCUGUGGGACUAUGCGUGACUAAUAGUGACUCUAGCAUCACCAUAACUCACUCGUCAUUUCACAGAUGUCAAUGCUCCCUUUUCUACAGUAUGUUGAACUUUAUCAGGAAUGCAUAUUAUAGUAUUGGUUUAUAAUACUAUAAUAAAAAAAGGAGUCAGUUAUUCAUUUAACAACUGCUGUUUUAUUUUACAUCUGUUUGUUAUUUUCCCACUGACAUCCAAUGCACCGGGGUUAAAGAGAAGCAGCAAAGCUGCUGAGAAAGCGGCUCCUCUCGCGUUUGGGGUGAUGUCUAGGAGACAUACUGCCAAUGAUCAUGUUGUCAGCAAGUAGGUGAGCAAUUGCAGAGGGAAGGAGAGUGCAUCACAAAGAAUCUGUUGUAUGGUUACUUACCAUUAUGAUACUUGGUUGUUUUUGCUAGUAACACUAGUGUAUUAAAUAAGGCCCAGAUCUUAGCAUAUGGCCGAUGAGCCUACAGCAUCAAUCGGGGAAUGGGUGUGAAAAGAUAGCGUAAAGCUCACCUUUACACUCCUGUCCCAUCCCAGGCUACCUAUACGCUAGUCGGGUCCCGUGGUAGAAGUUAUGCUGUCUGCAAAGGACUUAGGGUACAUCUACACAGCAAACAAACAUCACUGGCUGGCCUGGAUAAGCUGACUUGCUCUGGCUGCAAAACCACUGUGUAAAUGUUUGGGCAAAGUAGCAGCUAGGGAUUGAGAAAUGCAGGAGAGUCCUGAGAACACUUCCCACACCACUGGCAGCAGGAAGCGGGGUGGCUUAGGUGCUGCUGACUGUCUUUAUGCUACCAGAGUAUCCCCUACACUGGUUACACCAGCACCAGCUCUUGUGUCAGCAGCGGCACACCAUGGCUAAGACGCUUGUCCAAACCCUGCUCAGGCACAUGGGACUUCAGUACAGCAUCCUCUGCUCUGAAAUCUUUGCUCAGAAGUGUGGGAAGAUACCACGUUGGGGUAUGAAUCUUAAGGUGUGCAGAUCAGCGAGGUACAAUUGUAAUCACUGCUUGAUGGGAAAAACUAGCAAGAGGCUUUCCCCUUCUCCCUUACUAAUUUAUGUAGCGCCCAGUUGCAUUCUAAGCAAAUGAUUCUUCUCCCCGUCCAGAAGCGUAGCCACCAGGGAGAUCAGAUGUGUGGUUGUGAGGCGCGCUAGUUUAUCUGCUGUGCCUAUGUUUUUCCUGGGACAAUACAGUAAAAUAGCAGCUCUCUUUACUUUCAAUGAUAGGACUUAAGCAAAGCCAAACUGUGAAGAGGCAGACAAGCCCCAACACAUUGCUCUAAAAGGCUCUCUCCUGCCCACAUUUUGUUUUUGGACAUUCAUACCCCUGCAUCGCUCCAUCUGACAUCCUGCCUACAUCCCACUCAAAGCUGUACCAAACACAGACAACUGUUUCGCAGCAGAAGGGUUAUGACUGCAAUGGGUUUAGAGUCUUGUACAAAAGCAAAUAUAGAUAGGGCCUGAGCCAAAGCCUGUUGAAGCCGAUGGGCUUCGGAUGAGGCUCUGCAUGGUAUUACUUUAAAAAAAAACCCAAACUGCAUUGUUUAUUUUUAACCACAUCACGGCAGCUGUUUUCGCAGAGGCUGUUUGUCAACCCCGAUUGGACUGGCUGAGACGGAGUUGGUUCUGUCUGCUGUGCAGGAUUCAGAAGCAACAGCAGAGCCACCAACACGUGAAGAAGAAAUAGCAGGAGCAGAGGCAGUGAAAACACGAGGAGUGGAGACUUUUUAUUGGGGCCGUUAUUCUCUUUUGGGUCAGUAUUCCAAGAGCAUUUUCAAUGUAUAUACAAUACAGGAAACAGAGUAAAGACCAUGGUCUGUUGUAUAGUUGACUAGAACAUCCAUCUUUCCCAGCUUUGUAACUAACAGUAAAGUGUGCUUGGAGCAGAAGCUUACACAUACUGUAUGUUCACUUGUAUUUCAAACCAGGAUACCAGGCAAUCAGGCCAUGUAGAACAUCCCUGGGCCAGAGAAAUGCUUCCGAAUGGGACUCUAAGUCAGGAAAAAUAUUUUUUAAACAUAAACGUCGUUCUCCCUCCUCCUGGCUCUAGAAAUCAAAAAAAAAUUGGGCUACGAAGUCAACCGAUUGACCUGUGUUUCACUUUGCACUAGAGCUGCAAAGAGGAAUCAAACUAAAGUUAACUUCUUCAAAACCUUGGGUUUGGGCUGGAUCAACAGGGGCUUGUUUUGUAGUUCACAAUUGCCACCCUAGUCUGAUUGUGAGGCCUGGCUGUUGUAAGAUCCUCCAAAGCACAACUGGUGCGCAAUUUAUAAAAUUAGCAGUUGGGGGCAGGGAAUAACUUCCUUGAAGGGACACUGCUAACCUUGUUUAGGCCUCAAAACCUAUCUACCUGAAAAUUGUCCAUGCCUUUAAAAACCAAAAAAACCCUCUACCCCACCCCAAAAAAAUCCUUUUCUUGAAUUCUUCUCUUCCUCCUCCAAACUAAAGAAACAUUUCUGCUAGAGUCAGCAGACCAGAGGCCACAAGGCCGAAUGCCCAUAUACUGUCACCAGGCUUGUCCAUGCGAGUCAGGCAAACACACCAGGCCCAGGCCUCCUCUCACUCACACAACCUUUACCCCAGGGCUACUCCACUGGGUUUAAUGGAAACACUCCUGAGUCACACCUGCAUGAGAACAGAGUCAGGCUGAAUCCUGCAUUUGCACCCAGAGUCACAAGAAAAGGGGUGUGUUGUAUAAAUGGAGGGUGCCAAACUGAACCCUUUUCAGUUUAUGAAAGACAUUUUGGGGAUCAAGUAAGAGCUCAGUCCUGAACCCACUUGACUGCUAUUAAUUUUAAUAGGAGUUAGAGCCCUUAGCACCUUUUAAAUGUGUGUGAAAAGAGUUUCAAAAGCACUGAGUGAUUUAGGAGCACAAGUCCCAUUGACUUUCAGCAUAACACAUGCUCCCAAAUCUCUUAGCGGCUUUUGGAGGAAAAAAAAAAUCUCCCUCUAGAGACUGAAGUCCUACUUGUCCACAGACCAGCACGGCCUAGAGGUGAAAGGUUCUGUUUUCCAUUACUAAUCCCCGGAGGUGCCCAGUCCCGGAAACUCUGCUUUACGGAUUGAGGCCUGGCAAAGUAACACAGAUAAGUACAUUUAAAAAAUAAAUAAAGACAUUGGGCCAGAUCCUCAGUAAAUUUAACUUCACUGGAUCUGGGCUGAUUUAUACCAGGUGAGGCUCUGGCCCUUAAGGGCAGGGGACUGGACUCGGUGACCUCUCAAGGUCCCUUCCAGUCCUAGAAUCUAUGAAUCUUAAACUAAGCCCAUCUCUCUUUAACUUGCUCUGUAUAUUUUUUCUUCAGAUCUGUAGAUUCCCACUGGCCUUCUCUCAAGGCCAGCUCCCUUCUAUCAGAGCUAUUUGUGCAUCAGCUUCCUGACCUGUCAAUGAGUCCUUGAAAACAAAGCCGAGUUAUGUGGCCUGAGCCUGGUAGGGAACACUCCCACUGAAUGUCUCACUUGCCGUGAAGAAUCACAGGAGUCUCUGCUUCCUGUAGGAUGGUUGAGACUGAAAGGAUGUAGCUUCUGUGCACAGUGGGUGGGAUUCUCAGAAAGGUCUAAGUCACUUGGUGGCUAACACGUCAUUGACAGAAAAUCAGUAGUCCAAGGAUUACGGCUGGAGAUUUUUCAGAGGGGCCUAAGUGAGCUAGGCACCCAAACUCCAUUGAAAUUCAAUGAGCGCUAGAUGCCUAACUCCCUUAGGCUGCCAAAAGGCAACAGUAAGAGGAAAUACUUCAAAGCACCUGCCACAAUUUGACCAAAAGGAUUUGUGUCCAACACAGAGACUGUCAUAGGGCACGUCUUCGCUACCGGCCGUAUUGGCAGGUAGCAGUCGAUUUCUCAGGGAUCGAUAUAUCGCGUCUCAUCUAGACUUGAUAUAUCAAUCCCCGAACGAGCCCCUGUUGACUCCGGAACUCCACCAACGCAAACGGCGGUAGCAGAGUCAACAGGGGGAGCCGCGGAUGUCGAUCCCGCACCGUGAGGAUAGUAGGUAACUCGAUCUAAGAUACUUUGACUUCAGCUACGCUAGUCACGUAGCUGAAGUUGCGUAUCUUAGAUUGAUUUCCCCCCCUAGUGUAGACCAGCCCUUACUUUGCACCUGGCCAACAUUUAAAUGAAAGGAUCUGAGGCAUGGGGGGCCAGAUUCUGAUCUCAUUUCCACCGGCAUAAACUAGAGCAAUUCCACUCUCUUCGGUGAAUCUGCUUCUGAUGUAGCUGAGACCCAUGACUUUUGAUUUGGUGUAAUUUACAGUCUUGCUCUCAAAUAUUAAGUAGAUGAUCUAAAAUGUUUGUUUACAGUGUUUCCUACUGCUUAAUAUGCUUGUGGGGUUGGACUCUUAAGUCUCAAAAUGAGAUGAGCAAAGGCUUCAGCAGGUUUGAAGUGAGCCUAAAGGCACUCAUAGCUAGCUCAGAAAGCACUUUUCCACCCCCGUGAACAUUCAGGAAUCGAUUGGAUUGCAAAACAAGCUGAGUACCAGCCUAGAGUCUGAUCCAGCACCUCUCAAGUCACGUGGGUAGCCCUUGCUCACACCAAUAAUCCUACUGACGUCUGUCAGAUUACUUACACGAGUAAGGGGACAGACUGGAGCCACAUACUGGCAGCAGGAAAAAUUAAUUUCCUAGAGUGCAUCUCAUCACCAACCUUGAAAAGCACUGUGGCUACCAGUCCCAAAGGGGUUAAAUGAGUCUUAAAGGGUUUCUUUUGGUACAUUGGAAAGUAUUCCUUAAAAUACAGAGAGGAAAUCCAUUUUUAAUGGACCUGUACUUAUUUUUAUUUUUCAAUAGUGUUAUGGAGUAAUUUUUAUCUGGCAUGUAUGUGUAACAUUAUACCUCAUGCAUUUGCAGUAGCAGCCCAUUUUGUGGAAGUGUCUCUCUGGUGUGGUUUGAAGUGCAUAUUUUGACUUGUGAGGUGAUUAAAAACGAGACUCGCUUUGCCUGUCACGUUUGGGUUUGUUGAUUGAGAACGUUCCAUUAAAAAUGUUCCAUUCCAAAAACAAAUCGCAAUCCCAUGUGUGUAAUGCCAUGAUGGUCUCUGUCAAGUAGCAAAUUCACCUGGUGACAGACAUCAACAGCUGAUAAAAACUUGCCAAAUUUCAUACUAUUUUCAUUACUGUACAUAGAGUUAACAGUGAAACUGACAUUUGGUAAAUGUUGUCAAGGUAUGUUCUAUGAUGUUUCGUUGGGUUGUGUUACAAGCUAGUUGUCGGUGUGCUUUUCUAACUCAUCAAGAUGACUUGAUACUUUUAACUCUUCAGUGCAACAUACUACUUGGAUAAUGCUGAAUAUAGUGUUGUGCGUUUUGGGAGAAUACAUGAUUUGGAAGACAAAGGCUGUAUUGCAUUUUGCAAGUGAAGGCAAAGUAAAAGUGCACCCAGUCAUGCCUUCUAAAGGCGACUUAAUUAUGGCUGAUAUCUCCAAAAGAGCAGGAAAAUAGAGCAUCUUCAUUCUCACAAUCUGAUGCAGACUACUCAUGUUUAUUCAUAGCCUUUUAAAGCCACAUUCUGGGAGAUGCUGGAAGCCUCUGCAUUAUAUGUGAUCUUUAGAAAUUGGGCACCAUGCAGUUCUCCUUUGAGCCCAAACACAACUGUUGUCUUCAUGGAGUUUAAGGCCAGAAGGGACCAUCAGAUUAUCUAGUCUGACUUAAUAUACAUCACAGGCCACCUACACCUCCCAGCACCCGCACACUAAACCCAACAACCAACAUUAGACCAAGGUAUCACAGCCCAUAGUAGUCUAGACUAUUAAUAAACAUAGGGUCCAAUCCUCCAGCCCUGAGCUAUGGACUUCAAUAAGGUUGCUCAUCUGAGUACAGAAAGAAUCUCGCUGCCCUUUCUGUCAGACAAAGCUAUGGGGGCAAAUCCUUAUAUGUCUAUUAAGUCGCUUGAGCUGUGUUGAUUUUCAACAGUUGAGGGUCUUGUUCAUGGUGUUCUAAGUAUGUUUUGUCAAUCAUCCUACACAGGUUGUAGUAAGUGCUCCCUUGAUAAAACAUGUAUGAAGGGGCUUAGCUGGCAGCCCUUCAUUGGUUAGUAUGAGAUGUGAUCCUUUCCUCUCUAAUAGGCAACAUGCAAAGCAUUGGAGGCAGUGUCACCGGGGGGCUUAGAGUCAGGACUCCUGGGUUCCAUUCCUUGCCUCAUUAGCAAUUCACUUUAGGCCGGGUCCUGUUUCCACUUAUGCCAACAACCAAGGUCCCAUUGACUUUAAUGACACAGAAUUAAGCCCUUUGGACAAGAGCUACAUUCCUCAAAUAUACUCAGAGGUAUAAUACUUUACAAAUGUUAAUUAAAACUUAACAUAAAGCUCAAUAUCAUCCUUGGAGAAAAACUGUUCUGUGUAUAAAAGCAUCAAUAUUUACUGUCUAGAUUUUAUAUUGAAAUCAAUAUCUUUCUUUGAAAAUUGAGAAACUUCACAGGAAGUCAAACUUCCCCCCCGAUCCCAAAAAGUUUUUGAAGCCAACACACAUUCUGAAUCUUCUACUUCUGCUGUCUUCAUUGCAGUAGUAUAUUUAUCCAGAAAGAGAUCCAUAUAUCUUAGAAGAUUAGAGCAGUGGUUCUAGGUGAAUUACUCUUUAAAUCUGAUGUUUUGACGUGCCAGCCUUUGAUACAGGUGAGGAUGGUAAUGUACAAUUUGUCCUGGUUAUUUCUCUCCCCUCCUCCCUUAGAAAAACACAGUUGUGUGACUUUAAAAAAAAUAAUCAACCUAAAAUCUUUUUAUCCGCUUUGGCAGAUUAUGUUUAUGCGAUACCUGCUUCCAGUAACAUUUUCAAGCUUAUGUUCCUAAAGUUGGGGAUCAGGUACAUAAGGAGGCUAUUGCAAACUAAGCUAGAGUAUGAAUUCAAAGUGCACUAUUCUGCACUAGCUCCCGAUGCAGGAAUGCAUGGUAUUUACCAGAGGUGGGUUUUACCAGGCAACCUCAUGGGGUUUACUGCCCCAAACAAAAAAAUCAGUCCCAGUUCAAGGUAUUUUCUAUUUUAAAAACGGUUUCAUUAAUGCACACCACAUUCCACUUAAUUUGAAUGUGCAACUAAAACUGUGGUUCUGUAAGCCAGUAGGUUUGGAGAUUUGAUCUGUACAACCCUAACAAAGUAAAACUGCAGUGGGUAUCAUAUUCAUAGAUGUAUUCUAGUACUUAACACUAGAAUGUCUGCAUUCAUUUGGGUUUGGCAUUUUCUCAAGGAAGUUAUACGGGUCAUGACUCAUUUCAGUUUUCAACACUAUCUAAAUAUUACAUGUACAGAAAACUCAGCAAGUUGCUGAAUAUUUCAGUAAUUUGCAUUAGUCUAUUCUAAUAAUAAUGUUAUUUUUCCCAGUUUAAGCCAGCACGUACAGUAUCCGGUCCUAAACUAGUGUUUCCUCAGGAAACUGCCAUCGCUGUCCCCAUGUGCACGCUCUUAUUCUGCACUAAGGCUACAUCUGCUGUGCAACCAGGGUGUCAUUUGCAGCUCAUGCGGACGUACCCAAGCAGGCUUUAAUCCAGCUAGUUUGCUACAAGUAAGUGAGGGAAUGGCAUCAGUGUCACGGCUGCACACACUUGUCUGGCCUGCUUGGGUAUAUACUUGCGUUUCUAGCCUGUACUGAAGCCCACGCUGCUGUGUCCCCAUUGCUGCUUGUCAUGGGCUAGCUAGAUUAAAACCAAGUGAGGAUCCAUCUACAUGAGCUGCAAAUGAUCCUCUCCCUCCUCCCCAUUGCAGCAUAGAUUUAUUUUAAGAGCAUGGAUUAAGCUAAGCCCCACAAAGGCACUUUUAAGGCAGAAUAAGAAAAUCCACAUGGACAGCUAGUGCACAAUACCUAUUCCAAGCCUCUCUCCCCCUCUCCGUAUACAGGCCCUUAGGCUCCUACGAUCAUAUUUAGAUACUGAAAUGAAAGUGACCUGAUUUUCAGGAGUGCUGGGCAUCUGAUUCUCCAUUUUCCACAAAGGGAUUGGUGAGAAAUGGGAGAGGUAGGCUCAGGGGGUGGGGGGAGGAGAGUCCAUUUUCAUUUAAGUGCCCAUGUUUGAAAAAUUAUGGCCCAACUGAUUUGCCCAGGCUUGAAGACUUGGCAUAAGAGCAAGGUCAGAACCCUGGGCUCCUAACUCCCAGUCUAACCCCUAGCCCACUCUGAGUCCUCUGAUAGAAGCACAUCCUUGUCCUUUGCAAUCCAGCAUAGGAACUGCUAGCUCAAUUGCCCGUUCUUCCUGCUAUUAUUGAUGUCACCUCAACACUUAGAGAACACCUUAGGCUGUUCCCUACUUGGGCUAGAGCUGCAUUAAAGGCAAUUAUUAUUUCUACAGUCUGGUGGACACAGAGUAUUUUACUGGUAUAUAGAGCUUUCAGGCUAAAGCAAAAGCACAACAAAAUGGUAACAGUACCCACGGCCGAGUCUCCAAAAAGCAACCACUUUGAAUGAUCCAUCUAAAGGGGGAGAGUCUCAUGCUCCCACUCCAGCCCAUUUCUGCUAGAUAAAAGGCUGGACAAGCCUCUGUUCUGACUGGGAGGUGGGGGAAGGAAAUUCCUCCAGUGCGGGAAUUGUGGAAGGCAACCAUAAAGCUACCUAGUGAGGAACCUCUUGCAAACCCAGACAUCUGGGACUGUAUAAAUUACGUCACAGCCACAAGGCAGCCCAGGUUCAGUGGGGCAUUAAGGUGGCUUAAAAGCGAUCUCCCUCAGACUGCAAGCUGUGUGCUGCACCUCUUAGACCCACAGCGCAGACUCUCACCCAUAGUUUCUAGGGCAACUUGUUUGGACUCUUGCUUUAAGACCACCUU